rnacentral:misc_RNA from 1 species
UUUUUGGUUUUUUUUUCCCUUUUCUUUUCUUCUUCCAGAAAGAAGAGGGAAAAAUGUAAACCCUUAUAUCACACAGAAAUCUAUGAUCAGAAGCCUUGCAAGCAAAGAAACACACUUAAUAAAUUUUUAGCUAUGUGUGAAUAUCAUUGCUAAGACAGACUGCCAUCUGUUGUCCCCCAUUUACUGAAAAAACAUUGUGGGGAACCCCAAUUUCCUCUGAUCAUUCAAUUAAGUAUACAAGACCAGAUUAAUCUCUCAAGAAUGAAUAUGAUAUCAACGGCCUAAGUUGAAAACAUCUAACAGCCUCCAUUGCUCUUAAGGAGACAAUAUAGCAUCCAAGCCUCCUACAUUCCCAUCUGUGUGGUUCUACAGUAAGAAAGUGCUAGUAUACGAGUUGGUAGCAAAUGAAUCAGAGAAGUAUGAUGGAUGUGGAGAUAAUUGCCCAAGAGAGAUAAAAAUCAAUUAAUUAAUGAUCAAAGUGGAAAACAUUGUACCCCGUCAGGGAGAUUCCUAGGCAUUGGAAGUGCAGUAACAUAUCUUUGGAGACGGGAUUUCUGAGUUGCAUCAGAGGAUGAUGAGGUCUCAGCCCCAUCAGCUUGGCCCCGUCCAUGGAACUUGGCAAAACGAUUGAUAACAGAAUACUUCUCUAGCUCUUGGCAUUCCACUCUCAGGUCUAGAACAGAUGUUCUCUUGUCCAAUCUCAAGAUAUCAUUUUCUAGCUUCCUUGCUCUACUGAUCAGGUCUUCCACAACUCUUGAGAAGUAUUGAUUGCUGAUUCUCUCAGAUGUUUUUAGCUUCUCAGGCAGGGAAUUUCCACUGCUGGAAGGCACAGGAGUUUCACUUCCACCACAAGAGAGUGUGCUGCAGGCAUCUCCCAGGGUUGAUCGAGCAAGCAAGUGUACAACACUCUCAUAAUGUGACAUAGCAUCUGCAGACAGAACUGAUGCCAACGAAGGGUGAAAAAGCAGCUGCAUAAGCUGUGUUGUCAAUAUAAGCCUUCUCUUUGAUCUAAAUCCUGGUGGUCUGUCCUCUACCAUUUCAGUUUCAUCUUCCACCUUCUCAGGCAAUCUGUUUGCUGCAUGAGCCCAUUCCAGUUCUGCCGAACUGAUGUUCUGAAGCCUUUGAAGGCCAUGCACCACUUGUUUAUUCCAUGGUAAAAGUUCUGACGUAGCACUUUUACGCUUCUUUGGUCUCACAGCAGCCAAGCUCACAUCAACAGUAUCAAGAUGCAUUAACUGAGGGGAAGAGAGUGGUGAGGGGGUUGAACCCUUUUGGAGAAGACUAUGCCGACUAGCAUCAGCAGCAAUCACAUUUUCUUGCUCCACUGGACCAUGAGCAUGCAAACUAUUGGAAGGCCUUCCAACAGUGAAAGGAAGUUCCAUAGUCUUUACGGUGACAUUUCUCCGUGCAUCAUGUAAUGGUAAUAUCUGUCCAUUUUUAAAGGCACCAUACUGAUCAAACCAGGAAGGGGCCAUCUGGGGACUGAUCUGAGAAUGUUCAGUUCUCACUGAAACUGCACUGCUAUUAGCAAAAUUCUGAGAAUCAUUUUGACCAAAUCCAAGCGUAUCCUGAGAAAGGGCAUUUGCAUCCCGAACAUCUGUCCUUCUUCCCAAAAUGCUUAGCAUCUUAGCAUCUCCAGCAGAACUUGAAGCACAAUUUGUUGAUGUAUCUCUGACCAUAUUAUUGUGACCAUAUAACUGCUGUCCAUCCAGGGGGCCUACUUGCUGAGCAUCCACAGCACCAUCAGGACCUUUAAAUCUCUUCAUACUCCUAUUGUCUGGAUCCACAUCUGCAUUUUUUGUGCCCUGCACUUGAUGCAUUAAGGAGUAAUUCUCAUGAAAAAAAUUAUUGAGCAAGAAGAGGUCACCUUGAGUUCCACUCAUCAUAAUUUAAAUUAGUGAUAUAUUUAUAUCAUUAACUAAAAAUUAAUUAUUAUAUUGAUUUUUCCAUAAUAAAUAGAUGAAUAAAAUAAAACAUUAAAUAAUAAAAAUAUUAAAUUAAAAUUAAUAAGUGGUCAAGAGUAUUUUUAAGAAUACGAAGUUUAAAAUUCGUGUUUGAACAAUGAUAACUAACAUAAGUAAAAGCAAUAAUUUUUUCACUUCAAUUGUGGAAAAAAUCAGAUUUAAUACCUUUUUAUGCUAAAAAUGAAUUCUUAAAAUAAUAAAUAAGGCUUCAUUUAUUUUAUAAAAAAAAUAUUUUUUUAAUCAGAGGAGCUUUUCCAAAAGAGAAAUUCAGUAAACUAAUAAUAAUAAUAAUUUCUAAUCCAUCCAACUGUUUCUUCUCCAAGCUGCUCAAAGAUCUGACCCGAAAUUUCUGGACAUCAGCAAAUAGAAACGUCCCAAGAUAUUGUCAAUUCGUAAACCAUCCCCCACACUACAGGGAUCUAUAGCUUAGCUCGGGUCCCAAAUACGUGUGACAGACAGUUUCAUCCCACGUGGCGUCGUCGCCUAUCGUCUCCUCUCUGGCUCUAUGCCUUUAUCUAUUUUUUAUUUUAAAAAAAAUUAAAAAAAGAGUCUAUUUCCACUUUUCAUUCCCCUCCUCCAGCGCGGCCAUAAAUAAACCCGUCCUCUAGGCUGUAUAGCUCGUGACAACAUUGCUUCUCUGUUAAGUCCCUCCACAAGAAAGUUAACUGCUCUCGCUUCUCUCUCUAUCUCUCUCUGUUUGAGGUUUCCGUCAUGGCAAGGAAUAUUCUGGUCACCGGUGGUACUGGUUACAUUGGGAGUCACACGGUGCUUCAACUCCUUUUAGGCGGUUACUCAGUUGUCGUUGUCGAUAAUCUCGAUAAUUCCUCCGCUGUUGCUCUCGAAAGAGUCAAGGAAAUCGCCGGCGAACGCGGCAAGAACCUCUCCUUUCACCAGGUUGACCUCCGGAACAAGCCAGCUCUGGAAAAAGUUUUCUCCCAGACAAAAUUUGAUGCUGUUAUCCACUUUGCUGGGCUCAAGGCAGUUGGUGAGAGUGUGGAGAAACCAUUGCUUUAUUUUGACAACAAUCUUAUUGGAACAAUUACAUUGCUGGAAGUAAUGACUGCCCACGGAUGCAAGAAGCUUGUGUUUUCCUCGUCUGCUACUGUUUAUGGUUGGCCAAAGGAGGUUCCAUGUACUGAAGAAUUCCCUCUAUUUGCAAUGAACCCAUAUGGUAGAACCAAGCUUUUCAUCGAAGAGAUUUGCGGUGAUAUCUACCGUUCAGAUUCUGAAUGGAAGAUCAUAUUGCUAAGAUACUUCAAUCCUGUUGGUGCACAUCCUAGUGGCCUUAUUGGUGAGGAUCCCCGUGGAAUUCCAAACAACCUAAUGCCAUACGUGCAGCAAGUUGCUGUUGGAAGGCGUCCUCAUCUGACAGUCUUUGGAAAUGACUAUACAACCAAAGAUGGUACCGGGGUACGUGACUAUAUUCAUGUUGUUGACUUAGCAGAUGGUCACAUUGCUGCAUUGUGUAAGCUCUCCGAUGCUAAAAUAGGUUGUGAGGUAUAUAAUUUGGGAACAGGAAAAGGAACAUCAGUUUUGGAGAUGGUUGCAGCAUUUGAAAACGCUUCUGGAAAGAAAAUUCCUCUUGUAAUGGCUGGACGGCGUCCUGGUGAUGCUGAAAUUGUUUAUGCAUCAACAGACAAGGCAGAACGUGAAUUGAAGUGGAAGUAAGUGAAAAUAUGCAUGCAUUUUUCGUUUUGUAAUCCAACAACUAGCUUAAAUUGUUAUUUUAGUGAUGAUUAGUGGAAUAAAAUGAAAAUUGGAAAGAAGUCAUGGAAAGAUGAUUUUUUGGAGCAUUAUAUGGCAUGUAAAAUGUUGGUUGGGCAGCUGGCAUUGUUAUAUAGGACUUGUAAUCUGUACUCCAUAUUCCUCAAACAUGUGUAAAUUCCCUUGCAGGGCAAAAUAUGGCAUUAAUGAGAUGUGCAAAGAUCAAUGGAACUGGGCCAGCAAGAACCCUUAUGGCUAUGGGUCUCCUGAGACCAAGUGAAAGACUAAUAUUUUAAUGAUGUCUUCUCACCCACAUUAUCAUGUUUAUAAUGCUUUUAGGGAUUAGGUAUUAGCUGAUAACCAUUGUUGUGUUAUGAUCCCCAAAUAAGCUGCCACUUGGCCCCUACAUCUACAUAAAUGUCCAGCUAGGAGUCCCUCUUGUAGUUGACAGUCAUUUGAGGGCUAUAUUCUUCCUAGUUAAUUAGUGAAAUAAACUCUAUUUCAAUGAGUAAAUAUUUCUAAUUUCAUUGUGUUUGUAAUCAUGGGAUUAUUAUGGUUGGUUGAUCUUUCCUUUGUGAAUAAGAUUAUUU